rnacentral:rRNA from 1 species
CGAUAGCGUAUAUUAAAGCUGUUGCGGUUAAAAAGCUCGUAGUUGGAUUUCUGUCAAGGACAACUGGUCCGCCCCUCGGGUGAGCACAUAGUUUGGUCUUGGCAUCUUGUUGGAAACUGUUGCUGCACUUGGUUGUGUGGCGCAGUGUCCAGCACUUUCACUUUGAGGAAAUUGGAGUGUUUCAAGCAGGCACAUGCCUUUGGACACAGUAGCAUGGAAUAAUUAGAUUGGGCUUUUGCUCCAACUUGUCGGUUUCUGGAGCUGAGGUGAGAAUUAAUGGGGAUUGUUGGGGGCAUCCGAAUUUAGCCGUCAGAGGUGAAAUUCUUGGAUCUGCUAAAGACGGACAACUGCGAAAGCGUUUGCCCAGGAUGUUUUCAUUGA